rnacentral:lncRNA from 1 species
GGUGGCCCAGCGCCCCGCGCGGCGCAGACCCUGUCGGCCUCCCCGGUGCCGGCCUCCGGGGAGGCGGCUGCUUCCUGGUGGGGGCGCCACUUUCUUGAGAGCGCCCUUUACCCGCCGGGAAGAGCCCUUUCCCUCUUUUUGCCUUUCAUCCCGGAGUGUGUUAGUCCUCUAUCCUAAGUAAGGGAGGAAGCCCGUCGCCUGAAGAGGCCCCAACCUAUAACCCGGAGUGGUCUCCACUUGGCACAGUCCUAACCUCACGAAGGAGCUUUUAUCCCGAAGAACUCCAAACCCCUUUCCCCGAGAAAUUCCUUCCCUGCAUGCAUUACCAAGUGCUGCUUACUCCCUCGUCUCCCUCACCCGCCACGCCAGUUCCACUCAGUCCCUACCACUUCUUAACCCGAGAAGUCCCCUUAGCCGCCACCGUGAGGGCCCAGACGCUUUCAUCAAUUGCUUGGUCCGAAGGCCUUGCCAUCGAUUCUAAGACACCCCCUCAUCCACCCACACAAGCAGGAGACUCCCGCCGGGUCAGCCGGUGCACCCGACUCUUUUCCUUUGAGUGGCAUAGCGGAGAGGUAAGGAGCGAGGCGGGGUAGUCUCAAGGUGUGUGUAUGUGGGCCGCGGCCCGGCUUCCCACGGCCCCGCGCCGUCCGCGAUCUCCGUGCGGACCCUUUCUGUAAGCGCGCAGCAAAGCGCGAUUUUUGGGAGUCACGGUGGCCGAGUGGUUAAGGCGUUGGACUCGAAAUCCAAUGGGGUUUCCCCGCACAGGUUCGAAUCCUGUUCGUGACGGUGGCUUUUUUUCGCCUCCAUCUUCCUAGCAUAUAAGAGGAACCCCUGUACUCGCACGUGUCUUUCCCGCACUUCCCUUUCCGUCUGCAUAAAGGGAGGCUAAAGGUCACAUCUCUGCACUUGGGGAGGACUGGGGUGGUCCCAGAUCUCGGAAAGCUUAAUUAUGCAGAGCUGUAUUGGCUGCUAGGAUACCAGACCCUCAGAAUUCUGUAACUUAUGAUUUGCUAGCAGAUGUUGACACACGUUCCAUUCUUUUGAAGGAUGGGGAAGGAUUUGAGUGAAGUAGAGUUGAAUUUUUUCAGGGAAUGUGAGCUUGUGCAAUAAUCAUCAAACCUGGAAUUUCUAGGAAAAUAGAGCAUCUCUGAAUUAUUUCUUCCUUCCUUCCUUCCUCCUUCUUUCCUUCCUUCCUUCCUUCCUUUUUUUUGGUACCAGGGAUUGAACUCAGGGGCACUCGACCACUGAGCCACAUCCCCAGCCCUAUUUUGUAUUUUUUUUUUUUUUUUUUAGAGACAGGGUCUCUUGAGUUGCUUAAGGGCCUCACCAAGUUGCUUAGGCUGGCUUUUAUCCUCCUGUCUCAGCCUCUGGAGCCACUGGGAUUGCUGGGAUUAUAGGCGUGGGCCAGGCCGGCUACACCUCUGAAUUUUGUAACUGGAAGUAACACCUUCAAAGUCUGAGGCCACUGAAGACCCAAGAAAGAGGGCAUUUUCAUUAGGAUUUUCUUGAGGCGGACAUAGGAAGGGGCCUAUUGGAACAUAAACACUGCAGAUCCAGCUGGAGCCAGGGAGUUGGAAAAUAAUUUUAUUUUUUAUAAAGUGCUUGUUGUGUACCAGGUACUGUUCUCUGUGUUAACCAAACUAGGGAAUUCAUCUGUUCUUAUGCUCUCCUUUACUCAACAUCACUUAGUUCUUAAUCUAAGAUACUUGUUUUUGUACUUCAUUUCUUGUGCAGUGCAUCUUCUCCAAAA